rnacentral:tRNA from 1 species
GACUCGGUAGCUUAGUCCGUAAAGCAUUUGUGUAGCAUAUGACGAUCGUGAGUUAAAAUCUCACCUGAGUUG